GACACCGGCGGCCGGGCUUUGCGCGGCGCCGCUUCGGGCGGCGGGCCCGGGGCUGUGCGCGUCGGCCUCCGUGCCG
rnacentral:tRNA from 1 species